CCUACGGGAGGCAGCAGUGGGGAAUAUUGCGCAAUGGGCGAAAGCCUGACGCAGCGACGCCGCGUGAGGGAUGAAGGUCUUCGGAUCGUAAACCUCUGUCAGCAGGGAGGAACGGUCCCUGUUCUACUCAGCAGUGAAUUGACGUUACCUGCAAAGGAAGCACCGGCUAACUCCGUGCCAGCAGCCGCGGUAAUACGGAGGGUGCGAGCGUUAAUCGGAAUUACUGGGCGUAAAGCGCUCGUAGGCGGUAUGUCAAGUCAAGGGUGAAAUCCCCGCGCUCAACGUGGGAACUGCCUUUGAAACUGGCAAACUGGAGUGUGGGAGAGGAUAGUGGAAUUCCAGGUGUAGGAGUGAAAUCCGUAGAUAUCUGGAGGAACACCAGUGGCGAAGGCGACUAGCUGGAACAUAACUGACGCUGAGGAGCGAAAGCGUGGGUAGCAAACAGGAUUAGAUACCCCAGUAGUC
rnacentral:rRNA from 1 species